rnacentral:rRNA from 1 species
UACAGAGGUCUCAAGCGUUGUUCGGAUUCAUUGGGCGUAAAGGGUGCGUAGGUGGCGCCGUAAGUCCGUUGUGAAAUCCCUGGGCUCAACCUGGGAAUGGCAGUGGAUACUGGACGGCUAGAAUGCGGUAGAGGGUAGUGGAAUUCCCGGUGUAGCAGUGAAAUGCGUAGAGAUCCGGAGGAACACCAGUGGCGAAGGCGACACGCUGGGUCACACCUGACGCUAAAGCGCGACAGCAUGGGGAGCGAACGGG